rnacentral:rRNA from 1 species
UACGAGGGGUGCAAGCGUUGCUCGGAAUUAUUGGGCGUAAAGGGUAGGUAGGUGGUCUCGUUUGUCUGGGGUGAAAGCCUUGAGCUUAACUCAAGAAGUGCCCUAGAAACGGCGAGACUAGAGUCUUGGAGAGGGUCGUGGAAUUCCCGGUGUAGCGGUGAAAUGCGCAGAUAUCGGGAGGAACACCGGUGGCGAAGGCGGUUCUCUGGGCCUGUACUGACGCUGAGGAGCGAAAGCGUGGGGAGCGAACAGG